rnacentral:rRNA from 1 species
UAGGGAAUCUUCCGCAAUGGACGCAAGUCUGACGGAGCAACGCCGCGUGAGUGAAGAAGGAUUUCGGUUCGUAAAACUCUGUUGUUAGAGAAGAACAGCGCAUAGAGUAACUGUUAUGCGUGUGACGGUAUCUAACCAGAAAGCCACGGCUAACUACGUGCCAGCAGCCGCGGUAAUACGUAGGUGGCAAGCGUUGUCCGGAUUUAUUGGGCGAAAAGCGAGCGCAGGCGGUCAAUUAAGUCUGAUGGGAAAGCCCCCGGCUCAACCGGGGAGGGUCAUUGGAAACUGGUUGACUUGAGUGCAGAAGAGGAGAGUGGAAUUCCAUGUGUAGCGGUGAAAUGCGUAGAUAUAUGGGGGAUCACCAGUGGCGAAGGCGACUCUCUGGUCUGUAACUGACGCUGAGGCUCGAAAGCGUGGGUAGCAAACAGG